rnacentral:rRNA from 1 species
AUUGAACGCUGGCAGCAGGCCUAACACAUGCAAGUCGAACGAGUGGCGGACGGGUGAGUAAUGUCUGGGAAACUGCCUGAUGGAGGGGGAUAACUACUAGAAACGGUAGCUAAUACCGCAUACCAUCGGAUGUGCCCAGAGGGGAUUAGCUAGUAGGUUUGGUAAAGGCUCACCUAGGCGACGAUUCAUAGCUGGUCUUAUAGGAUGACUGGCCAUUCUGGAACGUAGACACGUUCUAGACUUCGUCGGCAGUCAGUAGUGGGGAAUAUUGCCCAAUGGGCGCAAGCCUGAUGCAGUCAUGCCGCGUGUAUGAAGAAGGCCUUCGGGUUGUAGAGUGCUUUCAGCGGGGAGGCGUUACCAGCAGAAGAAGCACCGGCUAACUCCGUGACAGCAGCCGCGGUAAUUC